UUAGAGGUCGCCAGUUCGAAUGAC
rnacentral:siRNA from 1 species